rnacentral:rRNA from 1 species
GAUGAACGCUAGCGGCAGGCCUAAUACAUGCAAGUCGAACGGUGUCUUCGGACAUAGUGGCGCACGGGUGCGUAACACGUAUGCAACCUACCUUACAUUGGGGGAUAGCCUUUCGAAAGGGAGAUUAAUACCGCAUAAGACAGUAGCUGGGCAUCCAGCAGCUGUUAAAGAUUUAUCGAUGUAAGCUGGGCAUGCGUCCAAUUAGCUAGUUGGUGAGGUAACGGCUCACCAAGGCAAUGAUUGGUAGGGGAACUGAGAGGUCAAUCCCCCACACUGGCACUGAGAUACGGGCCAGACUCCUACGGGAGGCAGCAGAAGGGAAUAUUGGGCAAUGGACGCAAGUCUGACCCAGCCAUUCCGCGUGCAGGAUGAAGGCGUUAUGCGUUGUAAACUGCUUUUAUACAGGAAGAAACGACUCUUGCGAGAGGCAUUGACGGUACUGUAUGAAUAAGCACCGGCUAACUCCGUGCCAGCCGCCGCAGUAAUAC